rnacentral:rRNA from 1 species
GGGGAAUAUUGGGCAAUGGAGGAAACUCUGACCCAGCAACGCCGCGUGGAGGAAGAAGGUUUUCGGAUCGUAAACUCCUGUCCUUGGAGACGAGUAGAAGACGGUAUCCAAGGAGGAAGCCCCGGCUAACUACGUGCCAGCAGCCGCGGUAAUACGUAGGGGGCAAGCGUUGUCCGGAAUAAUUGGGCGUAAAGGGCGCGUAGGCGGCUCGGUAAGUCUGGAGUGAAAGUCCUGCUUUUAAGGUGGGAAUUGCUUUGGAUACUGUCGGGCUUGAGUGCAGGAGAGGUUAGUGGAAUUCCCAGUGUAGCGGUGAAAUGCGUAGAGAUUGGGAGGAACACCAGUGGCGAAGGCGACUAACUGGACUGUAACUGACGCUGAGGCGCGAAAGUGUGGGGAGCAAAC